rnacentral:tRNA from 2 species
UCAUCCGGAGCUCCAAGUUGUAGAGCGACGGACUGUUAAUCCGCAGGUCCCUGGUUCGAGUCCAGGUCGGGGAG